UCAUGACCGAAGGUGUAGAGACCACCUAAGGGCGUUGCACAUCACAACCCAGAACGACAAGGACCCUGGGCAGUGAGAAUCAGGCCACUACCUUCGUGCCCCAUCAACGGCCGAGACCCACAGCUGGUGAGCCCGGGUCAGCUCCGCCGAGCGGGCCCGCUGGUCGGCUCCAUCCCCAGCCCUUGCUGCCCUCCCACGUGGCCAGCUCAAGCAGCCCAGGAGGCAGAAAACAUUUAUGUUUGUCCUGUGAUUCUUGAACUUUCCCCUGUUCACGCUGGGAUCCACAGGCUGGAUUCCUGCCGAAGGACGAACUUGUCCAGGGCCAGUGGCUGCCCUGCUCACGCCUCCCUGUGACCACACUGACGUCUCCCUCCUUGGGCCUGGGUGCUCUCGAGGAAGGGACCGUGUGACUUCCAGCCACGGCCUGGGACAACCCUCACAUCCACCCACUGGCCUCAGUGCCUGGAGGGAUAAAUGUGCUCACAGAUCACACUCUCCUGGGGCAGCUCUGGAACCUGACAGGAGCCACCUGCCUAAAGCCGUAACCCAAAGGCAAAACCCUGGGGUGGUAGAAAGCCCAGGCUCCGUGACAAGCUCCCACGGCAGGGGGAGGCAGGUGAGUAGCCGGGACUUCAGUCCUGUCACCAGUGAGAUGUCCACCAGCUCAGCCAGG